UCAUAACAUUAUUUUCCAGUGCAUUAAAGGCAUAUUGUAUUGAUACUUUUCUCUUCUCAGCAGAUGGAAUGAUCCAGUUGAGCAACCUUCUUUGCUUAUAGUUUUCUACUCAGCAGAUGACAGUGGUUGUACCUUACUGCACAUGAAGAUGACAACUUAGGAAAUGGAAAUGUAUUGCUUUCAUCAAGAUUCUUCAGUGAGAAGGAAAUUUUAGGCACUGACUGGUGAGUAUGCUUAAGGCUGAGCUAUGUUUUGGUGUGGCAUU
rnacentral:lncRNA from 1 species